UACGUAGGUGACCAGCGUUGUCCGGAUUUACUGGGCGUAAAGAGCGCGCAGGCGGUCGUUCAAGUCAGGUGUGAAAGCCUUGAGCUCAACUCAAGAAAUGCACUUGAUACUGGAUGACUAGAGGACCGGAGAGGAUAGUGGAAUUCCCAGUGUAGUGGUGAAAUACGUAGAGAUUGGGAAGAACACCAGUGGCGAAGGCGGCUAUCUGGACGGUUUCUGACGCUAAGACGCGAAAGCGUGGGGAGCAAACAGG
rnacentral:rRNA from 1 species